AACACACCUGCACAACAAAGCACGCAGUUGUUUAUCCUCUGUGAAGGAGAAGUGUAAAGGAGUAAGCACAGGCUCAUAAACCGUUCUAUAUCUUGCUUGCCUGGCCUCUCAACGUCUCUCGUGUUUGAAAGGUAUCUGCUGUCCCGGAUAUCUACACACUCAGGUGUCUUCACACGUACCACAGUAGAGCCACACUACAUAAGUUGUCACGUCCACAGUGACACGUCACCUUUCAGAACAACAAACAAAGAAAGCAACUGCUCGACAAUGACUAAACCGAUGUCGCUGGUGUGGCUGAUCGCUAUUGGCCUGCUGGCUUUGAGUUUCGCUGACGUCACGGCCGGCACCUUUGAAAAGAGGGAGAGCGAAGACGAUGUCGGAAAGGGGGCAUCGAAGGAAACCUCUGGCGCUGGUAUUGCGGAACUACAAAAUUGGAAGGACAAAAUCGACGCUAUAGGGGCGUUGGUCAACAUUAUUGCUGAUGGCUCUGAGUUGUAUUCUCGCAUGUCUGCUAAAUACGAAAUUUGUACGUGAUAUGGUCAGGAGGGCGUUCUUGAUUUUUGGUAAGGCCGGCGGCAAGGCUGUAGGCAGUCUAGUGCCUGCAGGUGGGAUUGGGAAAGUGAUUGGAGGUCAUUUUGGAGAAAAGUUGGGGGAAGUACUUGGGAUCCUUUUAGCAGGGGAGGCAGCUGGUGACGUAGAGGAAGCCUUAAUACCCCCAGGUAGAGGCGAUAAGGGAAAAUACGCUUUGAGGUGUUUGUGUGAGAUCCUUGGUGCUUUGGGGAGGACCCUCGACGUUGUCGUUCAGUUUAGUCCCCGUGCGUCAGCAAGCUACGAAAAGUGGAAGACUGGUGAGAUAUCAAUGACGGAUUUGCAGUGGGAAGUUGGGAAAGGUGUGGUUAAGGCCGGAAGCACGGCCGUGGGCACAGCCGUGGGCGCGUCCCUGGGCGCAUGGUACAUAGGGCCCGCCCUCGGGCAACUGGCUAUUCCCAUCCCCGGGUUGGGGGCGGCGAUGGGAGCUUAUGUUGGCAAUUGGCUGGGAGGAAAGGUCGGAGACUUUGUGACAGGAUAAGACUGGAAAUCGUGCUCGCACAAGAAAAGAUAAGUGAUCAUAAGUUUGACGAUCAUCAGAUUAGCUUAAGUUAGCGAUGAAACAGAUUGUGCUACUAGUACGUAGAAUGCAUCAUCUAAUGGUGAUCUAUGCUGUAUCGGUAUUACAAAUUAGUAUAAACGUGGUCUUUUUCAACCAUCCCACAAGAAGGCUCUGUUUUAUUGGUCCCACUUAUCAUACUGCUUUUAUGACAGCCUAUCUUUCUGACUACUGACGUCCCGGUUAGCACUUGUAAAGAACCAGGAACGUAAAAAUUCCCUGGCGUGCAGUGAACUUGGCAGACGGGUAACACUCCCAGCACCAUGCAACUAUACAUUAAUUUUAACAAAGUUGGACAGUUAAUUCUGUCCCUACCCAUGACUAGCCAAACUUUUGAUGUGACAAAAUCGGAACAUGUGAAGUUGUGAAUCCAAAACAGUACAGAUACAUAAAGGGGGUUAAAAAUCAAGAUUUUUAACCUCCUCAGAUACAUCAAAUAUCCCAUCACGUAUUCUGCAUAUUGAUUGUUGUUACACAACUAAU